rnacentral:lncRNA from 1 species
CUUAGACCAGGAUGGUAACAAUGGUUCUGGUAAGAAUGGGAUGUAGUCUACCUGCAUGGUAAAUGCAAUGAAGCAAGUUUUAUUUAGUGGUUAAAUGUUAGGUAUGAGAAAGAAAAUGCCUAGGUGAAUUCAACUCAAAGGUUUUGGUUCUGAGCACUUGCAAAGGUGGUGAAUUCCAUCAAAUAAGAAGAGGAAAGCUACAGUUCCAACAAAUGUGUGGAGGAAAAUUGGGAGAACAGUUUUAGAUGUUAAACCUGAAGUGUGUAUUAAACACAGAACUGAAAUAUUGGCCUAGGCACUUCAAUAUAAUAGCUUGUACUACCCUAGAGGCUAUAUUUAUUUAGUAGUUAUUACUAUACAUAUUUAAAUUCCCAAGGCAGGAUAAGACAAUUAGGAACUUGAGUGUAAAAAACAACAAAGACUAAGCCAUGUUGCAUCCCAAUGUUCAAGAAAGGGACAGACCAGUGAGGAAGCUACGAUGGAGGACCAAAGUGGUGGGAGGGGAACCAAGGGCAGGGAAUAUAGAAACCAAAUGAAAGGACAGACAAUCAAUGGUAACAGAUACCCCUGGAAAAUUAAAUAAUACAAGGUUUGACAAUGGCCAUUGGGUCCAGCAAUAUCAAUAUUACAAGUGACCUUGAGAAGGAUAGAGAUGUAUUGUCUGUUUCAGAGUGGAGAAUAUAAAAGCCUGAUAAGACAGUAGGAUACCAUGAUGACCCAUUCAUUGUUUAUGCAACAAAGUCACAAGCAC